rnacentral:rRNA from 1 species
UACGUAGGUGGCAAGCGUUGUCCGGAAUUAUUGGGCGUAAAGCGCGCGCAGGCGGUCCUUUAAGUCUGAUGUGAAAUCUUGCGGCUCAACCGCAAGCGGUCAUUGGAAACUGAAGGACUUGAGUACAGAAGAGGAAAGUGGAAUUCCAUGUGUAGCGGUGAAGUGCGUAGAGAUAUGGAGGAACACCAGUGGCGAAGGCGACUUUCUGGUCUGUAACUGACGCUGAGGCGCGAAAGUGUGGGGAGCAAACAGG